rnacentral:lncRNA from 1 species
UGGCAUGCUGAGAUUCAUGGGGUCGCGAAGAGUCAGACACUACUGAGCGACUGAACUGAACCGAACUGAACUGAGUCCUUUAGCCUGAUUCUAGAGAUCGCUAGUAGAUGUUUCCAGCCGCUGGAGCUCUGGGGCUCUGAUAUCAGUGGAAGCGACAGAGCUGCGAGGAGUCAGGCAGCAGCUGCCAGACUGGGGUCCCAGCAGGAGACUGGCCAGGGGCUGGCCGCUGAGGCCUUCAGAUGGAGCAGAUGUCCUUGGUGAUGGAAGAAGAUGCUGUGAGGCCAUUAGGACAGUUCUGUGAGGACCAGUGUUCUUUUCUCAUAUAGGUUAUUACAGAAUAUUUGAGCCCCAACCCUAAAACCAUAGCAUCUAAAUAUCCUUAACUUCUAAAGAGCACAUUGGAAGAGUACCAGAUUUCCUCUAUGUAUAUUAAGAAACUGUAGAAGUAUCUCUCCCAUUAACACUGUCAUAUGAAAAUAGAAUGCCAGGAAUUUUAUGAGAAAUGUCAGAACAGAGGAUGAUUUUCCCAGCAGACUAUCAAGGAGGAUGGACAUCAAGGAUGUGAGCUGGAUCAGGACAGGAUGAGCUGGGUGGAUAUGCGGUGAUGAGAGCUGUCAGACUGGCUGGUAUGGCCAUGUAACACUCACCUUUGGAAAUUCCAGGAAAUAGCGUGGAAACACUUUGUGACUGUUUAGAUGGUCAUUCCCAUAUACUGUUAUUUGGCCAAGUGUAUGUAUUAUAGUCUUAUCUUGUACUCACAGGCUGAAAAAAACAGCUGAUAUUUAGAUUAUACAUUACAUGAGAUACUCAUAAUUUGUAAAAUUAUGUGUCUUUUGGUAAAUGUAAAAAAAAAUACAGACAGUCCAGCAAUUCUAAGGAGAAUAUUGAAAUAGUUGAGGCAUUAUUGCAUUCACAUCAG